ACCAGACUCCUACGGGAGGCAGCAGUGGGGGAUAUUGCACAAUGGGGGAAACCCUGAUGCAGCGACGCCGCGUGGGCGAAGAAGUAUUUCGGUAUGUAAAGCCCUAUCAGCAGGGAAGAAGAAAUGACGGUACCUGAGUAAGAAGCACCGGCUAAAUACGUGCCAGCAGCCGCGGUAAUACGUAUGGUGCAAGCGUUAUCCGGAUUUACUGGGUGUAAAGGGAGCGUAGACGGCCAUGCAAGCCAGGGGUGAAAGCCCGGGGCCCAACCCCGGGACUGCCCUUGGAACUGCAUGGCUGGAGUGCGGGAGGGGCAGGCGGAAUUCCUGGUGUAGCGGUGAAAUGCGUAGAUAUCAGGAGGAACACCGGCGGCGAAGGCGGCCUGCUGGACCGCGACUGACGUUGAGGCUCGAAAGCGUGGGUAGCAAACAGGAUUAGAUACCCGAGUAU
rnacentral:rRNA from 1 species